AGUGAACGCUGGCGGCGUGCCUAAUACAUGCAAGUCGAACGGAGUGGCGCACGGGUGAGUAAUAUAUAGCUAAUCUGCCCCUUGCUGGCGGACAAAAGUCAGAAAUGACUGCUAAUACUCCAUAGCAAGGGAUGAGACUAUAUCGUAUCAGCUAGUCGGUGGGGUAACGGCCGACCGAGGCGAUGACGCGUAACUGGUCUGCGAGGAUGAUCAGUAACAUUGGAACGGAGACACGAUCCAAACACCUACGAGAGGCGGCAGUAGGGAAUAUUGCGCAAGGGGGGGAGCCGUGACGGGGCAACGCCGCGUGGAGGAUGACACUUUUCGAAGCGGAAACUCGUUUUGUUAGGGAAGCGGUACCUAACGAAUAAGCACCGGCUAACUCCGUGCCAGCAGCCGCGGUAAUAC
rnacentral:rRNA from 1 species